rnacentral:lncRNA from 1 species
CGGUGUGGGUGAUGGACGCGCCGCCGCAAAGGCCGAAGAUGACUGCGAAAAGGAGGUAAAUAAAUUGGAUAAUAAAUUGAGAAGGAACUGAAUUUGAAUUAUUAUUAAUAUUAUUAUAAUUGGGCGGCGGGAAAAGGAAAGGGUAAACGCCGCUGGAAAUUGAGAUCGGGAGGAGGAAGAGAAUUGAGAGGGCGGAGAAAUGGCGGGGCUGG